UUGUACUUGUAUAGCGCCUUAUCAAGGCUACACAGUGCUUCACACUACAGUCACUCACAGACACUCAGACACUGUUGGCAAGCUGCCCUUGGGCAGUCUGACAGAGGUGAGCUUGCUUCCAGGUCCACCAAGACUCUCUGACCCCCACCACCAGGUAAGUCAGGUGAAGUGUCUUCCCAAAGACAGAACGAUAGAGGCGAGUGAAGCGGGGAUCGAACCAGCAGCCUGCUGACUGUGGGGCAAACUCCCACCAUCGUCACAACCCAAAAUAUGGGUUUUUGUGUAAUUUCAAGUCCUUUCACAUCUAUAUGUGUUGCUUUCUCCUGCCCUAGAGCUUGUGUCUUGGAAUCAUAUGUGCUAGUAUUGUUCUUAAUGCAGAACAAGACUAUGAAUUUUGAGUUUUUCUCAUGUUGAAGAACCUCUGAGGUGGUAGGUAAUUAUCUACCAGGUGAUAGAUAAUUACUAGUCAAAUCAUUCAGAAAACAGAAAAAGCUGUCAGGUUUCAUUUUUUAAUGCUGCAGUGUCAAAGUCCAUACUUAGAAUGAUUAUAGCUGGUGGUUAAUGUUUUUUGGAUUUCACUUUAAGCUGUGGCUUCAAACAUAAACUUUACAAACAUAAACUUUAAUUGUAUAAAUUCAGCCUUAGACGAAGCAAGCAAACAGAGAAAUCUUUAACAGUCACUUUGGUAAAAGGCCACAUAGCAUCGUCCUGCUCCACUGACAACUUGCACAAAAGUAGAAAAACACUGAAUGAACAGGCACCAAUUAGAUACCAAAGUACACAAGAUAUAGCAUUAGUGCAAGAGGAAAAUUUCACUGCAGAGUGACAAAAACACUGUCUUUUUCCUCAGAGUAACAGUACUCAUGGAAAUCAUGGAUGUUAGCUUUAUGGUCUACAUGCACCUUUAGAUUUUCAUAUCCAAACAUCUCUUCUGACAAAGAAGAGAUAUUCCAGAUGUUUGGAUAUGACGUGUUCUGAAUAUUACAUCAAGAUGAAGAGAAAGGAUACCAGUACUGCACAUUGAGCUGCUAGGUAGAAGUUAGAUUACAUUUUUAUGAACACUUGACAUAUGGCACAAUCACAAAAAAAUACUACAAAGCCUGGUACAAUCAAAAUGACCAGAAAGAUCUAAAAA